GAGAUAUGGCAGCUCGUGGCGAAAUGAAGCAGAUGAAGGAAAUUACAUCAAGGAAAGUUGGAAAUAUUUAAUUACUUAACACGAGUCAAAGCAGUAACUACGUAGGCAACAAUACCUAAUAGCAAAAAAAAAACAUGGCAGACAGUGUGACACGUGCAAGAAGAACAGAAGAUGCUGAAAAAGAAGAAAUAAUAUAAAGCUGGAGUUAUCCAAUCUCGUAUCUCCAGUUUCCAUGAAUACUGUUGGAAAAAAAUUCAGUAAUGGCGUACAGACUUUUUAGGUUUCGUUUGCACUUUUCGAAAACGUCCAUUGAAAAACUUUCAUCUAAACAAAAAUUGUCUCAACGUUUAUCCCACGUCUAAUACGAAACAUCCCGGAUAUCCAGAUUGUAUUAAAAUCUAUACUAAGAUGUUGUUAACGGCAACACAAAUAGUCUGCACACAAAGAACAGCCAUCUUGUAACUCGUUACGUAUUCGAAUUUAAAAUAUCGUCAUUACAGAUUCACAGCCCGUCACCGACUUUAAAAGAAACCUUUAGGUAAAAGACUUAAGGAUCCACGCAGGGAUUUAAAACUUCUCAGGACCACUUUUGGACCCUUGCGUCACCGACUAACCAUCGCUUCAAAAUUUAUCCUAAGGAGCCAUCGUUAUGUAACCCAUGUAUGGAUGGAUAGGUGCGUACGUCAAUUCCAUCACGUAUGGUGUCAUAGACGCCUUCUAUAUCCCAGGAAUAUUUCCAUAUAAAUGACUAUCCACCAUUCCUGUGGAUGAAAAAUAUUCGCUACGCAUAAAAAACGGGAAUUAACCUCAUGCAGUUUAAAAAGGAUUAAAGCUUCGACAAUUGGAUGCGAUAAAGGAUCAAGAUGUCAAGCACUGGGAAGAUUGGAUCGGGAGAAUUUCAAAUUAUGAGAUUAAAGAGAGUACUGGUUCUCCUGGCGCUCGUGUUUCCUUCAAAUGCCUUCUACUCUUGGCUAUCUUUGACUUUAUCUGCAUUAUCAACAAAAAAUACUAGAGUCAAGAAUAGUGAGAGAGAGGAAAUCAAGAAAAGGAAUACUUUCUUCACUUUGCUAAGACUCACCCCUAGGUACUUUUCUCUCCUCAACUGGAAAUCAAUAUUGACCCUAUAUUCUAGGGGUAGUUCUACAAACAAACCUGAACCUUGAUCAUGGGUUACAAGUCCAGUUCAGUUACACAGGGUGAAACGUUCAUCUAGAUUCCACACUUAAGGGAUUGCCAGGAGAAGAAUUUACUUGAGAUCCCAGGCUCUGUCAAUAGAAGCAGGGAUCACGGUGUCUCCAGGAAGUGGUACCAACUUUG